rnacentral:tRNA from 1 species
GGUCGGCUGGAUAAGCCCGGCGUCGAUCAUCGCCGCUUCGAUCGGCGCGAUGUCACCGUUGUCGAUAUCGGCCGGAUCCCAACCCGGCGCCAUCGUC